AGAUUGAACGCUGGCGGCAGGCCUAACACAUGCAAGUCGAGCGGUAGAGAGGUGCUUGCACCUCUUGAGAGCGGCGGACGGGUGAGUAAAGCCUAGGAAUCUGCCUGGUAGCGGGGGAUAACGCUCGGAAACGGACGCUAAUACCGCAUACGUCCUACGGGAGAAAGCAGGGGACCUUCGGGCCUUGCGCUAUCAGAUGAGCCUAGGUCGGAUUAGCUAGUUGGUGAGGUAAUGGCUCACCAAGGCGACGAUCCGUAACUGGUCUGAGAGGACGAUCAGUCACACUGGAACUGGGACACGGUCCAGACUCCUACGGGAGGCAGCAGUGGGAAUAUUGGACAAUGGGCGAAAGCCUGAUCCAGCCAUGCCGCGUGUGUGAAGAAA
rnacentral:rRNA from 1 species